CCUACGGGGGGCAGCAGUGGGGAAUAUUGGACAAUGGGGGCAACCCUGAUCCAGCCAUGCCGCGUGUGUGAAGAAGGCCCUCGGGUUGUAAAGCACUUUCAGUGAGGAAGAACGCCUGGUGGUUAAUACCCAUCAGGAAAGACAUCACUCACAGAAGAAGCACCGGCUAACUCCGUGCCAGCAGCCGCGGUAAUACGGAGGGUGCGAGCGUUAAUCGGAAUUACUGGGCGUAAAGCGCGCGUAGGUGGCUUGAUAAGCCGGUUGUGAAAGCCCCGGGCUCAACCUGGGAACGGCAUCCGGAACUGUCAAGCUAGAGUGCAGGAGAGGGAGGUAGAAUUCCCGGUGUAGCGGUGAAAUGCGUAGAGAUCGGGAGGAAUACCAGUGGCGAAGGCGGCCUUCUGGACUGACACUGACACUGAGGUGCGAAAGCGUGGGUAGCAAACAGGAUUAGAUAGCCCAGUAGUC
rnacentral:rRNA from 1 species